UACGAAGGGGGCUAGCGUUGUUCGGAUUUACUGGGCGUAAAGCGCACGUAGGCGGAUUGUUAAGUGAGGGGUGAAAUCCCAGGGCUCAACCCUGGAACUGCCUUUCAUACUGGCAAUCUCGAGUCCGGAAGAGGUGAGUGGAACUCCUAGUGUAGAGGUGGAAUUCGUAGAUAUUCGGAAGAACACCAGUGGCGAAGGCGGCUCACUGGACCGGCAUUGACGCUGAGGUGCGAAAGCGUGGGGAGCAAACAGG
rnacentral:rRNA from 1 species